GACGAACGCUGGCGGCGUGCUUAACACAUGCAAGUCGAACGGAAAGGCCCUGCUUUUGUGGGGUGCUCGAGUGGCGAACGGGUGAGUAACACGUGAGUAACCUGCCCUUGACUUUGGGAUAACUUCAGGAAACUGGGGCUAAUACCGGAUAGGAGCUCCUGCUGCAUGGUGGGGGUUGGAAAGUUUCGGCGGUUGGGGAUGGACUCGCGGCUUAUCAGCUUGUUGGUGGGGUAGUGGCUUACCAAGGCUUUGACGGGUAGCCGGCCUGAGAGGGUGACCGGCCACAUUGGGACUGAGAUACGGCCCAGACUCCUACGGGAGGCAGCAGUGGGGAAUAUUGCACAAUGGGCGGAAGCCUGAUGCAGUAACGCCGCGUGCGGGAUGACGGCCUUCGGGUUGUAAACCGCUUUCGCCUGUGACGAAGCGUGAGUGACGGUAAUGGGUAAAGAAGCACCGGCUAACUACGUGC
rnacentral:rRNA from 1 species